AGGGAAACCGAGUCUUAACUGGGCGUUAAGUUGCAGGGUAUAGACCCGAAACCCGGUGAUCUAGCCAUGGGCAGGUUGAAGGUUGGGUAACACUAACUGGAGGACCGAACCGACUAAUGUUGAAAAAUUAGCGGAUGACUUGUGGCUGGGGGUGAAAGGCCAAUCAAACCGGGAGAUAGCUGGUUCUCCCCGAAAGCUAUUUAGGUAGCGCCUCGUGAACUCAUCUUCGGGGGUAGAGCACUGUUUCGGCUAGGGGGUCAUCCCGACUUACCAACCCGAUGCAAACUGCGAAUACCGAAGAAUGUUAUCACGGGAGACACACGGCGGGUGCUAACGUCCGUCGUGAAGAGGGAAACAACCCAGACCGCCAGCUAAGGUCCCAAAGUCACAGUUAAGUGGGAAACGAUGUGGGAAGGCUCAGACAGCCAGGAUGUUGGCUUAGAAGCAGCCAUCAUUUAAAGAAAGCGUAAUAGCUCACUGGUCGAGUCGGCCUGCGCGGAAGAUGUAACGGGGCUAAACUGUGCACCGAAGCUGCGGCAGCGACGCUUAUGCGUUGUUGGGUAGGGGAGCGUUCUGUAAGCCUGCGAAGGUGUCCUGUGAGGGAUGCUGGAGGUAUCAGAAGUGCGAAUGCUGACAUAAGUAACGAUAAUGCGGGUGAAAAGCCCGCUCGCCGGAAGACCAAGGGUUCCUGUCCAACGUUAAUCGGGGCAGGGUGAGUCGACCCCUAAGGCGAGGCCGAAAGGCGUAGUCGAUGGGAAACGGGUUAAUAUUCCCGUACUUGGUGUUACUGCGAAGGGGGGACGGAGAAGGCUAUGUUGGCCGGGCGACGGUUGUCCCGGUUUAAGCGUGUAGGCUGGUUUUCCAGGCAAAUCCGGAAAAUCAAGGCUGAGGCGUGAUGACGAGGCACUACGGUGCUGAAGCAACAAAUGCCCUGCUUCCAGGAAAAGCCUCUAAGCAUCAGGUAACAUCAAAUCGUACCCCAAACCGACACAGGUGGUCAGGUAGAGAAUACCAAGGCGCUUGAGAGAACUCGGGUGAAGGAACUAGGCAAAAUGGUGCCGUAACUUCGGGAGAAGGCACGCUGACACGUAGGUGAAGUGAUUUACUCAUGGAGCUGAAGUCAGUCGAAGAUACCAGCUGGCUGCAACUGUUUAUUAAAAACACAGCACUGUGCAAACACGAAAGUGGACGUAUACGGUGUGACGCCUGCCCGGUGCCGGAAGGUUAAUUGAUGGGGUCAGCGCAAGCGAAGCUCCUGAUCGAAGCCCCGGUAAACGGCGGCCGUAACUAUAACGGUCCUAAGGUAGCGAAAUUCCUUGUCGGGUAAGUUCCGACCUGCACGAAUGGCGUAAUGAUGGCCAGGCUGUCUCCACCCGAGACUCAGUGAAAUUGAACUCGCUGUGAAGAUGCAGUGUACCCGCGGCAAGACGGAAAGACCCCGUGAACCUUUACUAUAGCUUGACACUGAACAUUGAGCCUUGAUGUGUAGGAUAGGUGGGAGGCUUUGAAGUGUGGACGCCAGUCUGCAUGGAGCCGACCUUGAAAUACCACCCUUUAAUGUUUGAUGUUCUAACGUGGACCCGUAAUCCGGGUUGCGGACAGUGUCUGGUGGGUAGUUUGACUGGGGCGGUCUCCUCCUAAAGAGUAACGGAGGAGCACGAAGGUUGGCUAAUCCUGGUCGGACAUCAGGAGGUUAGUGCAAUGGCAUAAGCCAGCUUGACUGCGAGCGUGACGGCGCGAGCAGGUGCGAAAGCAGGUCAUAGUGAUCCGGUGGUUCUGAAUGGAAGGGCCAUCGCUCAACGGAUAAAAGGUACUCCGGGGAUAACAGGCUGAUACCGCCCAAGAGUUCAUAUCGACGGCGGUGUUUGGCACCUCGAUGUCGGCUCAUCACAUCCUGGGGCUGAAGUAGGUCCCAAGGGUAUGGCUGUUCGCCAUUUAAAGUGGUACGCGAGCUGGGUUUAGAACGUCGUGAGACAGUUCGGUCCCUAUCUGCCGUGGGCGCUGGAGAACUGAGGGGGGCUGCUCCUAGUACGAGAGGACCGGAGUGGACGCAUCACUGGUGUUCGGGUUGUCAUGCCAAUGGCACUGCCCGGUAGCUAAAUGCGGAAGAGAUAAGUGCUGAAAGCAUCUAAGCACGAAACUUGCCCCGAGAUGAGUUCUCCCUGAGACUUAGAGUCUCCUGAAGGAACGUUGAAGACGACGACGUUGAUAGGCCGGGUGUGUAAGCGCAGCGAUGCGUUGAGCUAACCGGUACUAAUGAACCGUGAGGCUUAACCUUACAACGCCGAAG
rnacentral:rRNA from 1 species